GAUUGAACGCUGGCGGCAGGCCUAACACAUGCAAGUCGAGCGGCAGCACGGGUACUUGUACCUGGUGGCGAGCGGCGGACGGGUGAGUAAUGCCUAGGAAUCUGCCUGGUAGUGGGGGAUAACGCUCGGAAACGGACGCUAAUACCGCAUACGUCCUACGGGAGAAAGCAGGGGACCUUCGGGCCUUGCGCUAUCAGAUGAGCCUAGGUCGGAUUAGCUAGUUGGUGAGGUAAUGGCUCACCAAGGCGACGAUCCGUAACUGGUCUGAGAGGAUGAUCAGUCACACUGGAACUGAGACACGGUCCAGACUCCUACGGGAGGCAGCAGUGGGGAAUAUUGGACAAUGGGCNCAAGCCUGAUCCAGCCAUGCCGCGUGUGUGAAAGAAGGCCUUCGGGUUAGUAAA
rnacentral:rRNA from 1 species